rnacentral:rRNA from 1 species
AGAGUUUGAUCCUGGCUCAGGACGAACGCUAGCGGCGGGCUUAACACAUGCAAGUCGAUCGAGAAUCCCAUUCUUCGGAAAGGGAGGAAAGAGGCGAACGGGUGAGUAACGCGUAGGCAAUCUGCCCUUCAGUGGGGAACAACAUUCCGAAAGGAGUGCUAAUACCGCAUGAUGUCAUCAGGUCUCCUGGCCAGAUGACCAAAGGCUUCGGCCGCUGAAGGAUGAGCCUGCGUCCCAUUAGCUUGUUGGUAAGGUAACGGCUUACCAAGGCAACGAUGGGUAGCUGGUCUGAGAGGAUGAUCAGCCACACUGGGACUGAGAUACGGCCCAGACUCCUACGGGAGGCAGCAGUGAGGAAUAUUGCACAAUGGACGAAAGUCUGAUGCAGCCACGCCGCGUGUGGGAUGAAGCUCUUGCGAGUGUAAACCACCGUUAAUAGGGACGAAUGCUCUGGUUUUGCCAGAGAGAGACGGUACCUGUAGCGAAAGCUCCGGCUAACUCCGUGCCAGCAGCCGCGGUAAUACGGGGGGAGCAAGCGUUGUCCGGAAUCACUGGGCGUAAAGAGCGUGUAGGCGGAUGUGAAAGUCUGGGGUGAAAUGUCAGGGCUCAACUCUGAACCUGCCUUGGAAACUUCAUAUCUUGAGUGCGGUAGGGGGAAUCGGAAUUCCAGGUGUAGCGGUGGAAUGCGUAGAUAUCUGGAAGAACACCGGUGGCGAAGGCGGAUUCCUGGCCCGUAACUGACGCUGAGACGCGAAAGCGUGGGUAGCAAACAGGAUUAGAUACCCUGGUAGUCCACGCCCUAAACGAUGAACACUAGAUGCUGGGAGAUUCGACCCUCUCAGUGUCGUAGCUAACGCGUUAAGUGUUCCGCCUGGGGAGUACGAUCGCAAGGUUGAAACUCAAAGGAAUUGACGGGGGCCCGCACAAGCGGUGGAGCAUGUGGUUUAAUUCGAUGCAACGCGAAGAACCUUACCUGGGCUUGAACUGUGCAGGAAAACAUCUGAAAGGAUGUCCUCCUUCGGGACUUGUACAGAGGUGCUGCAUGGCUGUCGUCAGCUCGUGUCGUGAGAUGUUAGGUUAAGUCCUGCAACGAGCGCAACCCCUAUCGUUAGUUGCCAUCAGGUUAUGCUGGGCACUCUAACGAGACUGCCCGCGUUAAGCGGGAGGAAGGUGGGGAUGACGUCAAGUCCUCAUGGCCCUUACGUCCAGGGCUACACACGUGCUACAAUGGGUGGUACAAAGGGUCGCAAUAUCGCAAGGUGGAGCUAAUCCCAAAAAACCAUCCUCAGUUCGGAUUGCACUCUGCAACUCGAGUGCAUGAAGCCGGAAUCGCUAGUAAACGUGGAUCAGCACGCCACGUUGAAUACGUUCCCGGGCCUUGUACACACCGCCCGUCACACCAUGGGAGUCGGGAGUACCCAAAGCCGCCACAUUAACAGUGGUGUCUAAGGUAAGUUCGAUGACUGGGGUGAAGUCGGAACAAGGUA